rnacentral:sRNA from 1 species
UCCGGGCGCGCCGCGGCGGUGGCCAAAAAGGUUGAGCGUGACCUCAAGCCCAGCCGACUAAGGCGCUCUAGCAAUCCAUCAUGCUUGAAGGGGAAAGACUUUGCUGUGUCUUUCAAGAGAUUACAGGCAACCGUUGAUGCUGAAAAUCUAAACAAAAGGGCAAAAACAGCAAAAGGCAGCAGGAGUGGUUGCG